rfam:Triticum urartu cultivar G1812 contig965546, whole genome shotgun sequence.
UAAGUACUUCCUUCAUUCGAAAAUAUUUGCCAUCAAAAUAAAUAAAAGAUGUAUCUAGAACUAAAAUAUAUCUAGAUACAUCAUCUUUUAUCCAUUUUAAUGACAAAUAUUUCCUGACGAAGAAAGUAUAGU